rnacentral:rRNA from 1 species
AUUGAACGCUGGCGGCAGGCCUAACACAUGCAAGUCGAGCGGAGCGGCGGACGGGUGAGUUAUGCCUAGGAAUCUGCCUGGUAGCGGGGGAUAACGUCCGUAAACGGGCGCUAAUACUGCAUACUUUCAGAUUAGCCUAGGUCGGUUUAGCUAUUUGGUGUGGUAAAGGCCUCACAAGGCGACUAUCCGGAACUGGGCUGAGAGGAUGAUCAGUCACACUGGAACGGAGACACGGUCAAGACUCCUACGGGAGGCAGCAGUAGGGAAUAUUGGACAAUGGGCGAAAGCCUGAUACAGCCAGGCCGCGUGUGUGAAGAAGGGCUUCGGGUUGUAAAGCACUUUAAGUUGAGAGGCGUUACCAACAGAAUAAGCACCGGCUAACUUCGUGCCAGCAGCCGCGGUAAUUC